ACAAGAGAAAAGGGAGCUCGAAGGGGGGAAACCAGAAGGGCGAAGAAACAGAGAAGAAGAGAGGGAAGAGAUGGAAGGGACGGCGCCAGCAAGGGUUCCACCAUUGUCGCUGUCGCCGUCGCCGUCGCCGUCGCCGUAGAGUGGAGGUGGAGGAGUGACACACAGAGAGAGAGAGAGAGUCUGACGUGAGGGAGAAGAGAACGCGAGAACUAGGGAAGGAGGGAGGCUCUAUUCCGCGUCGCCAUUCCUUCACGCCGCCGAAGGAGGUCACGUCACCGUCAGAUCUGAAGCCGAGGAGCCGAACGCCGUCGAAGCCGCACCGUCGCAUCACCGUGGCUGUGCCUCCGUCGAACCCGUCAUACCGCCGCUGCCAUGAUGUCAUUGCUGUCGCGAGGGAGAAGAGAUGCGUGAGGAAGGAAGCUCGUAGGGGAGAAAAAAGACGCCGCCUGUGCUGCCAGCUCGAUCGCGUCUGAUCUCCACUGUCGCCGUCGAAGGUCCGUCGCCGAGGACGUGGAGAGGAGCCGCCGUUCAUACUUGUCGCCACCAAAAGAGGAGCCGCUGCCGCCAUCGAUUGUCACUGGAGAACACACCGUACCGCCGUGCCUCUGGUCGCCGGAAUCACGGACCGGAGAGAAGGGGGCUGCCUCUCCUGUUGCUGCUGCCUCGUUCUUUUAUUGUGUGGAACAUGGAAAGGAGAUAAACUCUGCAGUAGUUACAGACAAGUGCGGUACUGCUCUGAGAAACACCAGGUAGCCGAAUUGUUUAGAUGUUUUAUUUAGUCUUCUUUCCACAAAUUUUAUCCUAAUAGUUAUCUUUUGUUUUCCUCAUCCCCUCUCUCUAUUAGUAAACAUUAUUAGCAUUAGGCUUAGUAUUAUAUUUAAUUUGCUAACUUUUUUGUUCACUGGAAAAUCAUUAUGAAGGUGAGGGAGAACUUAGUAUUAUAUUUAAUUCUGCUUCACUGCUUCUACCUCGCUGCUUCUGCUUCACUGCCUUAGCUGAUUGUGGGUUGUCAUCUGUGGUAAGUGGUCUUUUUCUGAUUUUCUUUUGUUUAGUUAGGGCGUGUUUGGGUGUUGGCCAUUUUUGUUGGAGUUAAGAAGAAGAAAGGAAAGCGGUGUGUGAGUUUCUGCUUUUGUGUUUGCUUCAGUCCUUUGAAUAGUGAUUAGAGUUUGGAUUAUGAGAUGAGACAUGAUUAACUGAUUAUGGUGUUGCGAUUAGGGAGCAGAAUAAAGUAUGGGAAUGUGGGAUUUGCUAAUCUUUUGCUGUUGCUUUUGUUCACUAAAUUACUAUUUGGAAAUGUUGUUGCUUUUGUUCACUAAAUUAUUAUUUGGGGGCGGCAGGGCGGGGGUUGAAAAAGAGUGUUCGGUGAGCAUGAUGAUGAAAAUGGUUGUAUGUGAGGACAUGGCUUUUUGUUAUUUUCAUUAAUAAGCACGAUUAAUUUACUUGAA